rnacentral:rRNA from 1 species
GAUGAACGCUGGCGGCGUGCCUAAUACAUGCAAGUCGAGCGAACAGACGAGGAGCUUGCUCCUCUGACGUUAGCGGCGGACGGGUGAGUAACACGUGGAUAACCUACCUAUAAGACUGGGAUAACUUCGGGAAACCGGAGCUAAUACCGGAUAAUAUAUUGAACCGCAUGGUUCAAUAGUGAAAGACGGUUUUGCUGUCACUUAUAGAUGGAUCCGCGCCGCAUUAGCUAGUUGGUAAGGUAACGGCUUACCAAGGCAACGAUGCGUAGCCGACCUGAGAGGGUGAUCGGCCACACUGGAACUGAGACACGGUCCAGACUCCUACGGGAGGCAGCAGUAGGGAAUCUUCCGCAAUGGGCGAAAGCCUGACGGAGCAACGCCGCGUGAGGGAUGAAGGUCUUCGGAUCGUAAAACGCUGUUAGUAGGGAAGAACAAAUGUGUAAGUAACUAUGCACGUCUUGACGGUACCUAAUCAGAAAGCCACGGCUAACUACGUG